rnacentral:rRNA from 1 species
UACGUAGGGGGCAAGCGUUGUCCGGAAUUAUUGGGCGUAAAGAGCGCGUAGGCGGUCCGAUAAGUCGUCUGUGAAAUCCCAGGGCUCAACCCUGGAACUGCCUUUAAUACUGGCAAUCUCGAGUCCGAGAGAGGUGAGUGGAAUUCCGAGUGUAGAGGUGAAAUUCGUAGAUAUUCGGAGGAACACCAGUGGCGAAGGCGGCUCACUGGCUCGGUACUGACGCUGAGGUGCGAAAGCGUGGGGAGCAAACAGG